rnacentral:tRNA from 1 species
ACAGAGGUGGUUUAGUGGUAGAAUUCUCACCUUCUAUGUGGGAGACCCAGGUUCGAUUCCUGGUCAAUGUA